UGGGGAAUAUUGCACAAUGGGCGAAAGCCUGGUGCAGCGACGCCGCGUGAGGGAUGACGGCCUUCGGGUUGUAAACCUCUUUCAGCAGGGACGAAGCGCAAGUGACGGUACCUGCAGAAGAAGCACCGGCUAACUACGUGCCAGCAGCCGCGGUAAUACGUAGGGUGCAAGCGUUGUCCGGAAUUACUGGGCGUAAAGAGUUCGUAGGCGGUUUGUCGCGUCGUUUGUGAAAACCAGCAGCUCAACUGCUGGCUUGCAGGCGAUACGGGCAGACUUGAGUACUGCAGGGGAGACUGGAAUUCCUGGUGUAGCGGUGAAAUGCGCAGAUAUCAGGAGGAACACCGGUGGCGAAGGCGGGUCUCUGGGCAGUAACUGACGCUGAGGAACGAAAGCGUGGGUAGCGAACAGG
rnacentral:rRNA from 1 species